rnacentral:siRNA from 1 species
CUUGUGGAGCUUUCCCAUAUGGG